AACAUAGACGUCAUUCAGAAUACCAGAGAUUGUUCCUGUUGUGAAGAUUCUCAAAGACUGAGAGAGGAGGUUGAAACCUUACUAACCCGUCUUGGAUGUAUUGAACGGGAACAUGAAGAGCUCCUUUCACGUUUGAUGGAGGAUAAAUUGAAAGAAGCUGAAAAAAUGAACCAGACCAAUGAGCGGAUAGACAGAUAUCAGAGGAAGAAAGAAAAGACUUCUCAAAAAG